rnacentral:misc_RNA from 1 species
UCUCCCGUGAGGGAGCAGUCUCGCCUGGCCAUAUAGGCAACAGGCAACGGGGGUUGCGUUCGUUACCCCACUGAAGGGAACAGUUCAAACCACGAACUGACGACGACCAUGCAUCACCUGUCUAGCACCCUCGAAGGCUCCGUCCCUUUCGGGUCGGAUGCAGCUAGAUUUCUAACCUUGGUAAGGUUCUUCGUUUGCUUACGAAUUGAGCCACAUAAUCCACUGCUUGUGCGAGUCCCCGUCUAUUCCUUUGAGUUUUAAUCUUGCGACCGUACUCCCCAGGCGGGAUGCUUAAUGCGUUAGCUGCGCCACUGAAGGGUAAACCCACCAACGGCUAGCAUCCAUCGUUUACGGCGUGGACUAC